UGGUAUCACAAGAGCAUGAGCAUUUACUGGGGAAUUAAAAUAAAAUACAGCAUCUGUCCAGAAUACAAAUUAGACAGGAAAGUAUAAUAACUCUGACGGAGAUUCUGUUAGCUGCGGAUCGUAAUAUAGAAUGCAGCUCAUCUAUGUCCCCACAAUUAUUAACCACACCUCUGAGCCCACAAGGCCGCUAUACAUAUAUGUACCUGCACAAUAAAAUAUGCAGCAAGAAGUAUGGGUCAAUAAUAUUAAAUAAUCAUAAAAAUAGAAAUAUUUAUAUCAACGUGAUUCACAGAGUUAACAAUAAUUUUAUUGAACCAGCAGAAGUAAUUAAAUUCCUUCAAUUCCAAUAAUUCUCAAUAUAUUAAUUAAAUUCCUUCAAUUCAAAUAAUUUCUAAUCUAUUAAUUAAAUCCUUCAAAUUCAAUAAAAAUUCCAAUUUAUCAAAUAGCUUUACAAGCUUCAAUUCCAAGAACUCAAAUAUAAAAUUUUCAUCCAAUUCCAUAACAAUUUUCGUGGUGAAAAAUUAAAAAUACCAAUUUUCUAGGUUUUUCUUCAAAACUCCAAAUUUUUACAAAUUUAUAUGUCUAAAUCCAUAUAUAAACAAUGUAUUUAACUUGCAAUAGGUGUGAAUUAACUUACCUCUAAGUUGCUAGGUGAAUUCUCCUCUCAAGAACCUCCCAAGAUCGUCCAAGAAUGAAGAAAUAGGCAAAAAUGCUCAAAUCCCCGCUUUAAACACUCACUGCCCAGCGAUCAUCGCGCCCACGGCAAAAAUUUUUGCAUCCGCGGCUUCGCACCCGCGAUGGAUUUUUCGCACCUGCGGAUUCGCACCCGCGAUGGAUUUUUCGCACCCGCAGCUUCGCACCCGCGAUGGAUUUUUCGCACCCGCAGCUUCGCACCCGCGAUGGAUUUUUUGCACCCUCGAUGGAUUUUUCGCAUUCCGCGGCUUCGCACCCGCGGUGGAUUUUUUGCACCCGCGAUCACACCAAAUAUCAACUGUCUCAACUCUUCUUCAAAUUCCAAAUUCGAUCCGUUAACCAUCCGAAACUCACCCGAGGCCCUCGGGACCUCAACCAAAUAUACCAACAAGUCCUAAAAUAUCAUACGAACUUAGUCGAGCCUCUAAUUCACAUCAAACAACGCUAAAACCACGAAUCAUACUCCAAUUCAAGCUUAAUAAAACUAAAAAUUUUUAACUUCUACAUUCGAUGUCGAAACCUAUCAAAUCAACUCCGAUUGACCUCAAAUUUUGCACACAAGUCAUAAAUAACAUAACAGAGCUAUAAAAAUUUUCGGAACUGUAUUCCGACUCCGGUAUCAAAAGUCAACUCCCUGGUCAAACUUCCAAACUUAAAUUAUUGUUUUAGCAAUUUCAAACCUAAUUUCACUACGGACUUCCAAAUAAAAUUCCGAUUACGCUCCUAAGUCUAAAAUCAUCAUACGGAGCUGUUGGAAUCAUAAAAUUUUUAUUUCGGGGUCGUUUUCACAUAAUUCGAUAUCCGGUCACUAUUUGAAUUUAAAUUUUAUUUUUAAUCAAAAUUUCAUAUCUCGGGUUAGGGACCUCGGAAUUUGAUUCCGGGCAUACGCCCAAGUCCCAAAUCACGAUACGAACCUACCGAAACUGUCAAAAUACCGAUCCGAGUCUGUUUGCUCAAAAAGUUGAUCAAAGUCAAACUUGGCCUUUUAAAGCCAACUCAAGGAACCAAGUAUUCCGAUUUCAAUCCAAAUACUUCCAAAUCCCGAACCAACCCAUCCCCACAAGUCAUAAACAUUUAAAGACACAUAACGGAAAAGUUUUGUUUAGGAGAACGGGGUUCUAAAAGUCAAAACGACCGGUUGUGUCGUUACAAUAAUUGUAUGUAAAUUGUAUUCUGUUAUAGUUAUAUAUAUUUUUUUAAUUUGAAUGUUGUAUGAAAGUUAAAAAAUAAUUGUAUAACAUAUGAAUCGUUGUAUAAAAUUUGUAUUUAAGUUAUCAAUACUAUCUUUUUGCAUAAAGUUGUUGAUAUGUAUCAAAAUUUGUCCAAAGAUUUUACGAGGUUAAUAACUAUCGUGCGGGGCUAGUAAAGUAUUCUGCUUCACUUGAUUGGUUAACUUACCCAAUAAACUAAUCUAUCACAAAUUAACGAAAUAUUUAAAUCUGCACUAAAAUGGAUACAUCGUACUUACAAUUAAUAUUAUACAAUUUGAUGGUACAACAACAUACAAAUUUAAAAAUAAAUUCCGUACAAAUUUAAUACAAAUUGAUAUAUCUACAACAACAUACAACUAAUUAUAUAGUAUACACUUAUUUACAACUUAUCUACAACUUUCAUGCAUUAUUUUUACCCAGUUAAAAUAUAUCUACAACAUCAUAAAACUUAAAUAUAAUUUUCAUACAAAUUUUAUACAAUAUGUCUUUUUGUAUAUUUUGUAUAUGAUUUGUAUAUAUUUUGUAUGUGGUGUGUGUUUCUUCCUCUCUAAAAUUCUAAUCAAAACUUUCUCUCUUAAUACAAUGUUGAUAAAUAUCAAUAACUUUAUGUAAAAUGAUUGUAUUGAUAACUUAAAUACAAAUUUUAUACAACGAUUCAUACAUUAUACAACUAUUUUUUAACUUUCAUACAAUUUUCAAAUAAAAAAAUAUAUAUAACUACAACAUAAUAUAAUUUACAUACAAUUAUACUACACCUUUACAAUAAUUUUGUAAGUAUAUUGUAUGUCAUGCGUUUUUCUUCUUCGAGUUUCAAUUUAAAAUUCAGUCAAAAUCAAGUCUAAUCUUCACCAAACACCCUCAAAAUUGAGAUAUAAACUUCAAACAAUAUUCCUAAUUAUUUGAUACAACACCAAAUCCAAAAAAAUAAUGAUUUUUUAAAACCCAAAUUCGAAUUCAAAGCUUUAAAACUUUUAAUGGUUAUCAAUGGCAGAGAGUCAAACACCUUUAAAAUUUAUUGAUUGACAAUUUCAAUUUGAACACCAAUUGUGCAACAUGAAAGGAAAUUGCUAAGCUAAAACUCUAUAGUAAAAUGAUUGAAAUCCAUUGAUAAAUUCUAUUAAAAAUAUAUACAACAUGAAAGGAUAAAAAAUAGAGGACAUCAGAGGAAGAAAAAAUGGGAAAAGAAUAGAGAAUGAGAUAUUGAGAGAGAGAGAGAGCGCGUAGGUGAAAGAGAGAGAGAGCGCAGGUGAGAGAAAGAUAGAGAAAGAGAGCACGCAUGAGGGACAGAGAAUAAUGAUGUGAAAUAAUUGAUUCUUUAUUUAAUUUUUAAUAUAAAAUAAUACUUAUUUAAUUUCUAAAGUGUAUAUAAUUGAUAAAUUAUAUAUGAUUAAGUAAUUAAAUUGAAACUUGAGUAAGAGGUUAAUAAAGUUUCAAAUAUUAUAUAGGAAUAUAAAUUAUUUUUUUUAAAAUAAGAAAGAUUCGGCUAAAUCUAAUCCAGACAAUUCAUGUCAAUCUCCCCAGAUAAUUAGCACACCGUUUUAGGCCCACAUUCGGUUCUCACUGUAGGCCCCUACCCCAUGUGCCAUGUGUCCCCUUCGGUAUAUCCUUCGUCUAUGCCAUGUUGCAACUAAUCCUUUUAUUCUUCUAGAUUAGAUUAGAUUAGAUUAUUCCACCCAUUUACUUAUUAUCCUGUUAUAAUAUCACCGUCUAAAGCAGUUACAAUAAAAAAUGAAACACCCAAAAAUUUAUAUGGUUUGUAUGACAUUAACUUACUCUCAAUUAUAAACUUUUAUAUUUAAACGAAUAUUCAAUAAUUACGAUCAUAAAUUUUACUAUAUUUUUUUUUUAAUUUCAUAUCAAAUCAAACUAGUAUAUCAUUUGAAUAAAAAUAAAAAAUAAAAAUAAAAAUUUUAACAUAUGUUUCCAGCAAUAUAAGAUAUUUAUUCAAUAUAUAUAGUAUAUUAUAUGUAAUGAUUUUUCUUUAUCCUAUCAAAUGCCGCUAAAUAAAAGAAGAGAGGAGUAUUGGCUUUUUAGCCUCUUUUCAUCCCCUCCCCUCCCCCCCCCCCCCAGUUUUAUCUCUUUCUCAAAAAGAAAAAAAGUUACUUGAGUUCUGUGCUGAAAACAAAUAAAAUUAGUUGUAGCAAUUACUUGAGUAUUUCUCACGUGUGUCUCUUAAAGCAACUGCAGUACAAGUUUAAUAAGCAAUGAGCAAUGAAUUCAAUUCCAUUUUGUUCAGUAUGAUGAUUUUUAAGCUGCAAAUAAUCGAAAGCAGCGUAAUUUGUUUUAUCGGGAAUUAUUGUUAGAGUCGUUAUCCGUGAGCUGGAAUGAUGGUUGCUUGUUCUCGAUCUUGAUCUUCGCUCUUCUUCAUCUGUAGUGAUGGACUUGGAAGAUCAAAAUUCAGCUCUUAAAUCGGCCCGACAUAAUGAAACAAUGGCCACCCCUCAAAGCAAGGUUGGAAGUAAUGGGUCUAGUACUCCUGUGGGUAAUAAUAGUAAUAAUAAUAAAUUGGAUGAUGUAAAAGGCAAAGGAAUUGAAAUUAACGGGCCAGUGGAUAAUUCAGCUCCACUGGUGAAAUCCACUCCAACAAGUAAAGGAUUCGGGUUGAAGAAAUGGAAAAGGAUUAAGCGAGGAGCGCACAAGGAUCAUGGGGAUAGUAGUAGUAUAAACAGUGAUAAGUUGUUGAAACGUGGUUUGGCGAAUUCGGUUGCUAAUUCAGCAAAACCUGUGCAUUUUUCCGCUGGAAGCAUCCAAAGAAGUGAUGGGUCUGUUUCAUCUACAAAUGCCGUAUUCAAGAGUCCAGGAGUUCUGGUCGAUGGAUUUGGUGUAAUUGGUGAUUUGACCUUCAAUGCCAUGUCGGAAUCAGAGAACAGCGAGGAUCGGAGUAGUAAGUCGUCUACUGCAGCUAGUGCCCCAAAGGCGAGGUACGAAGCACCUGUUGUCCUGGGUUAUUCGUCUGACGUGCAUCAGUUGAGAAGCUUGAGUGGGAAGAACUUGGGCACUUCAGCUCAGCAAGCUCAUCAGGGAAAGGGUCGGGCUGAAACAAGUAAAAAGCCUAGAGGACAAAGGGUUAAAAUCGAGAAGGAAAACUCUCAUUCCAGCAUGGAAUCUGACUCACAAAGUUCUAAUUUUCUUUUUAUGCAGGGUAGUGACUAUGUUACAAGUAAUGGUACAAAAUGUGAAAGGUCAAUGAUGUAUGAUGGAGAAUUCAGUGAUGAAACUCAGGAUAGAGAAAGACCAAUUGGUGAGGAACUUCACGCUGGUCGCGAAAGAGGAAAUGAUAGGGAGUCUGAAAAUGUGUCACAAGAAGAUCUAGUUGCUGAAUCGCCAUGGGAGGUUAAGGAAGAGAAGAGUGAGAAUCAAGGCUCGUUCACUGAUCACGAUCCUCUGAUGGAGUCUAUCUUCAACCUCCAGACUGCUCAGGGAGCGCUUGAAAGAGGUAGAUCCGAACAUUUCAAGUUUACUUCUGCUUAUAUGACAGAUAUCGAUGUAGGUCAUGAAUUUUGUUCUGCUUGCAUCUUCUGUAUGUUGCAUUUAGCUGUAUCUUUCUGGUUGAAUCAAUAUGCUAAGAGGAGUGGCACUUAUGUUUGACAUCUACCUAUUUGGGCAUCUCUUAAGAAAUAUAUGCUAGCAUUAUGGCAGGAACAAUAACAUUAAGUCUGUAAGUCAGUGGAAAAAAUGUCAGGAGGUAGCGUUCAUAAUCCUAAUAAUGUGCAUAUACCUAAAAAAUGAUUUGGAGACCACUUACGCUUUCUCCUCUUCAGGAGGCAUUUAUACGCUUUCUCCUCUUCAGGAGGCAUUUAAUCGUGUAUAUUUGAUUAUCAUGCUGUUAUGCGGGUAUAUUUCGGACCAUGUUCUUUUCUAAAAGCAGUUUUUAUGUGCCGUAGUGUCAUAUAUUUUGCAAUUUACUUAUAAAUAAAUGUCAUAUUCUUUGCAAUUUACUGAUUCUUUAUAAUUAUUAUUGGUAUAACAACUUCCGGUUCAGGAUUAUACUGCAAAGGGUUUGAUGUUGAUAAAUUUCUUUUAGCAAUAUCAAAUCUUGUUGAGAACCUAUUUUCUGAUACAGAUGACAUUUUCAACUUGAAGCAUGUCCAUGUCCAACGAAUCAAUGGGCAAUGUUCAAUCUCAUGUUAAUUUGAAACAUUCUACAUAGCGUCUUACCUUUCUUUGUCUGUCUGGACUUGAUGCCACUCCCUUCUCUGACUCCCUCAAACAAAAGUGUAACUUAACAAUAAAAAACAGUAUGUUUUCACUUCUUUUAUCUGCAUCCAAGCCUAUCAUUUAUAUCUGUUUUAGAUGUUAUAGGACGGGCUUGGGACAUUAGGGACUGUAAUUUGAAGAAUCGAGUUUCCUGACCGUGGUAAAAUUAGGAUAUCAAUCCCACCUCCUUGGCCACCAGAUUUCAUUUCCCAUAAAUGGAAGAUUGGCAACCAAGAACAGCUAGAAACUUAGAUUGCUUGUGGAGAAUCUUGUUAGUCGCAGCUGCAUGUGCUGAUAGGGUUUCUAGGAGAGGACUAAUUAUAUUUUUCCUUCAUAUGUAAUAAAUUUCCUUCCGCAAGAAACUUGUUUGGUAAUUGUUUAAUGUACUUAUGCUUGUUAUCAUUUUGAGUGUUGCCUUAGGUUGUUAACAACCCUGUAGCAACUUUGGUGCUGAAAAUUGACUUCUUUGCUUAGUCAUAUUGGGUCUCGUCUGUCAGUGUAGUUAGUUUGCCUCGCAAGGCAAGAGAGGCAUCAUCAUUACAUUUGGGACACAUGGGUGAGAGGGAUCUAAACCAUUCUCAGCAAAAGAGGCCCUCUUUGCCAACAAAGAACUGAUAGGAUGGAUAGGCUUCUAAAUUUCAUGGUUAGUGCCUUGUGUGACUCGAACUAUUCUUACGAGGCUUGCUUGGAAUUUCAGCCUGCUCCCAUCUCCAUCCAAACACCUUUUUUCUUGUCCCCAACCCCACCCCAAAAAAUGACUCAUCAAAACUUUUUUCACUGAAUUUUCCAUCAUUGCGUUAUAACUUUGAAUUUGCUUCCUCCCCCCAAAACCAAAAAAUAAAUAAAUGGUUUCAUUGAUUUCCCUGUUUCCAUGGACCACACAAAAACUUUUCUUUACACCAGACAAAGAAGCAAAGUCAUUUAUGUGAAGUUGAGAGUCAUGGUCAAAUAAAACUUCAUUUCGUGCUUCCGAAGCAUCGGAUGGACGGACUUAUUCAUUCCUGUCAUUGAUAUAUAAGGAUAUUUUCUUCAUUGGAGUUUAAGAUUUUUUGAGAAUAGGAAAGAUCUCAUUAGCAAGAUCGAGUGUAACUAUAUUCUUUUACUUUCGUUUGGUCCACACAGGAGUUUAGUGAAAACGCGUAGCAUUGUAGAAUUUAUUAGCUCCCUUCAGAAUUAAAGGAAUGUAUUCUUUUGCUUUGUGCUGUACAUAUUCAGCACCAUGUUAGUGCUGUUUCAUCAGUAAAAUUAUACCUUUACCAAUAAAUUAUAUUUUCUUGGUUGAGUUAUUAGGUGUGUGUAUACACACACAUAUAUUUAACUUAUUUUUCACCUUCACUUUUAUUUAUUUUGGUAUUGGUAUGAUAAUGAUAUGAGCUGAGCUUAGAGAAAGAAGUGAGGAUUCAUAUCGCCGACCCCUACUAUGUUUGGGACUGAGGCGUAGUUAUUUGUUAAGUUAUCGGUGUUGGUCCUAUUUGAUCUCAGAAGCACAUUUAAGGGAAGUGCAAAUAUAUCGUAUGAAGUCGUUGACCAGUUUCUUUUCUGUGCAUGCUCUUGUUUUUGGAUGAGAUUUGUUAUGUCGUGUUUUUAUAUGCUUAAAGAAUUUUUUACUGAUCUGUUUAGUUAAUAACUAUAUCCAUUGAUUUUUGGGGGUUGACAAACAUUUUCCUUGGCUUUUCUGGUCUGUCUGCCAAAUUUAAUCUGCCAAAUUUAAUCAUAUAUACCGUUGACCAUUUUAAGAAGACAAUUACUUGUUGGAUUACUUAUAUCCAUUCAACUGGACUAAAUUUGCUGGUGUGCUUUCUCUACAGAACUUCAGAAAUUCAAAGAAAUCGGAAAAGAUGUUAUCUUUGGCCAUUCACUUGAGGAUGUUGGUAUACCUUCAGAUCUCCCUGGACCAAGCACAUCUGAGCAGUCACAGCACAGGGAUGGUGCUCGACAUUCUUUUAACUCCUUGGGGGCUGAAGUGGUUUGCCUAAAGCAGAAUAUAAUACUGUUGCAAAGCAAGCUUCAGAAGGCAGCAGACCGAGUUAAGUCCAAGGAAGCCAGAGUUACUGAACUGGAAGCCAUUCUAGGUAGUAGCUCAAAGAAGGAAGAAAAGACUAUUGAUACCAUGCACCAGAGUAGUAGAGACAUGGAAAGUGAGCUUGAGGGUCUUUUCAGACAGAAAAUUGAAGCUGAAGUUCAGUAUUUAGCAAUAUCAAGAACAGCCCAGAAGUUGAGAGCUGCAGCAGUUGAUCAAGCUACCCUCUUGGAAGAACAGAAGACCGUAGCUUCAGAACAAGCACAGAUGGUGCACAGGCUUGGAGAUGAAGAAGCAAAGGCUGCAAUGCUCAAGACACAAGCUGAGAAGUUGGAAAGUUACUGUAAAGAUAUAGCAACAACCGAUGAAAAGCUAAAGCUACAGAAGAAAGUCUACAAGUACAGUUCCUGUUUUUUGAUACAGUUGGUGCUGCUGGCUGUUGUCGUUGGACUGUUUCUGAUGCAAAUGUCACCUGAUUAUACUGAAAUUGUACCCACGUGAUGUUGAGAAGUUCUUUUCUUUUCUUUUUCUUGUAUUAUUAUCAACGUCGUGUGCAACGUUAGAUUAGUAUGUAGUAGAUGUUUAUAGAAAGCUUAAAUACCUUGUUUUCAUCUUCUCAAGUCUAUAGAAGAAGAUUCGUUGGUCCAUAAGUUGAGAUAUUGUUUCUAUAGAAGGGUGACAACCUAGAAAUUCUUUUGCUGGUAUCAUAUUCUUAUUCAUUCAAUUGUCAGCGAGGCCAUAUACGAGAAUUGUAUACGAGAAAAUGUAUAUUUUUUGUAUCUAUGUUUUCUGUAUAUAUGUAUAUUAUAUAAAAUCUUUCUGAGUCGAGGGUCUUUCGGAAACAACCUCUCUACCUUAUUAAAGGUAGGGGUACUACCCUCCCCAGAUUACAAUGGGUCUGUUGUUGUUAUUGUAUAUACAUAAAUAUAAUUAUACACUUUUUGAUUAGCGAAUACAAUUAGUUUUGGCCGACUGGCUAAUUUUGUAUUUUACCCGCUCUAUAUCCCCAUUUUCAAGGUCUAAUGUUCGAGUUGCAACUGAAUUCGAGUUGCAAUAAUCUCCUUCCUUAGAAAAGUGCACCUUACGCCGGCCAUGAUUGUGGAUUGGCUUGGUCAAUGGGCCAAAAUUGGCUUGGUCAAUGGGCCAAGGAUAUUACUGAUGUACACAAAUGGCCACUUUUUAGCCUUCAGAAGUUGGUCAGCAUUUCAUAAAUAGACCAGCAGUAUGAAGUUUGAAGAGGUCGCAUGUCUAAAAUUUAAAAUUCAAAACUAACAUUCAGACCGCGAGCUAUUUUUUUUUUGAAAAAUGGUCAACUUCUAAAUACAAGGCCAUAAAAGUGGCCACAUUGUGUAAAUAAUACUACUAUUUGUUUGGGACAUGGUAUAACCAAUUCUAAUCUAAUAUAGUGUCUAUGUCCUAACCCUGCCUAUUAACCAUGGCCCUUCUAUAAGAUGGCUCAAGUCGUGACCCACGAUAACCAUGUACGAGCCCCGAGCGCGCGUCCUAUUUGGUCACCCCCAUUUAAUAUGUACCCAUUUUUUUUUAAUUUGUACCCACUGUUUAAACAACUUCAGGCUUUUUUCUCUUCUUCCUCCUCCUCCUCCUCCUCCUCCUCUUCUUCUUCUUCUUCUUCGGGUAACGAUUUUAUAUGGUGUUUGUCAACAUAUUUAAGGUAGUUUAUGAUAUUUACAGUGGCGAGCUGUUGUGGUGCUUAUUUUUUACUAUUGCUUAUGGUUUCUUCUUUUUCUUAAUUGCAAAAUGGGUUCGUUAGAUUUAUUAUUGAUUUUGACAAAUUGAUGAUUAAGGUUUGUUCUUGAUGAUAUUUGGAGGUUAUGUUUCAAAUUUGAGUUCAAUUGCAGUAGAUUUAGGUAUUAAAUCGUAUAUUGUAUUGUUAAAAUUCGAAGAAUAAAUUUCUGUUUCUGGAAAAUUUGCACUUCAUGCGUAUUUAGCUUUAAGUGCAUGAAAACGUUUGUUGCACUUCAGACCUUUUGGACCUAAGUGCAUCUGAAAUGUAAUUUUUUACUUCAGACUUAUUGGCCUUAAGUGUAGGAAAACGUUUGCUGCACUUUAGACAUUUUAGCUUAAAGUGCAUCUGAAGUAUAAUUUUUUCACUUCAGACUUAUUUAGCCUUAAGUGCAUGAAACCAUUGAUUGCACUUCAGACCUAUUUUGUAUUAAGUGCAUCUAAAGUGUAAUUUUUUUACUUCAAACUAAUUUUCUUUUAACUUCAGAUCCGAUAAGUCUGAAGUUGAUCGUAAAAUGUGUAGCUUGCAAUUUUGUUUUUUUGCAAAAUGGGUAUAUGUUCAAUUGUAACCCCAAAAUCGGGUAUAGAUGCAAAAGCCCCGUGAAACUUGUCCCUCAUUUCAUCGAGGAAAAAAUAUAAUUGUGCAAUAUUUUAACAAAAUUUACAAAAGUUUAGAAGUAUGACUUAAUUAACAAAUGUGGCAGCUACAUAUUUACAUUCCGCAACGUCAUAAAUAACUCUUUCUUACUUUUUCGCCCAACCCAUUACUUUUUUCCUAAUAACUGUAUUCUUAAAUUUUGGAAAAACUGAAAAAAAAAAAAAGGUCUCAAAUAAUGACUUACAAGACAUGGGGUCAUCUGCAAUCUUAUUCAUAACUUUUAGCUUUUUUGAACUUUCAUUUCGAAACUAAGAUUGGAAGUCUAUACAAGGUUGAAUAGAGUCUAAUUUUCAAGUGAUAAAUAUAGAGCAAACUGUUAUUAUGUUGCCUUUUUGCUUGAAAGCGGGCAUAGCCACUAGGAAGAAACAUGUUCUUCUCGAUCUACAUUUGUGAAACAGUUUGUAAUCUUAAUUAUUCAACUUGCUAUGUGUGUUUAAGGAAUGCAAUUUAUCACAUUGUUAAAUAUUGAUUUCCAACUUUAUUCUCAAAAGUUCAGUUGAGACAUUUUAUCAAACACAUCAUAGAUAUUUUUUUAACAUGGGUAAUUUGACACUACAAAAAUCACAAGAGGUUUAAUUUAACACUACAGAAAUCACAAGAGGUGUAAGAUUGAAGAAGAACCUGUUUUGUUGCCGUCACUCUUUGCCCACAAUAAUAUUUUGCUCAACAACUGAUUUCGUUUUUCUCCUUGCAAUUUGGUGGUGGUGGUGGUGUAGUAGUAGUUUGUAAAUGGUUUAAUCUUUUAUUUUUCUUCAUUCUCGCGCCAAAGAAUCAUUUCCAUUGAUCCGAAAAUAUUUUCCCAAUCAAAAUGAAACCCCAGCAAGAUUUUUCGGAUAGUUGAUUUCUCUUUCCAACUUUGACACUAAUCCAACAAGAGAAUGUAGUUUAAUCAUGGUUUAGUC
rnacentral:lncRNA from 1 species